AUUGAACGCUGGCGGCAGGCCUAACACGUGCAAGUCGAGCGGAUGAGGGUAGCUUGCUACCUGAUUCAGCGGCGGACGGGUGAGUAAUGCCUAGGAAUCUGCCCGAUAGUGGGGGACAACGUUUCGAAAGGAACGCUAAUACCGCAUACGUCCUACGGGAGAAAGUGGGGGAUCUUCGGACCUCACGCUAUCGGAUGAGCCUAGGUCGGAUUAGCUAGUUGGUGAGGUAAUGGCUCACCAAGGCUACGAUCCGUAACUGGUCUGAGAGGACGAUCAGUCACACUGGAACUGAGACACGGUCCAGACUCCUACGGGAGGCAGCAGUGGGGAAUAUUGGACAAUGGGCGAAAGCCUGAUCCAGCCAUGCCUCGUGUGUGAAGAAGGUCUUCGGAUUGUAAAGCACUUUAAGUUGGGAGGAAGGGCUGUAGGCUAAUAUCCUGCAGUUUUGACGUUACCAACAGAAUAAGCACCGGCUAACUUCGUGCCAGCCGCCGCAGUAA
rnacentral:rRNA from 1 species